rnacentral:rRNA from 1 species
CCUACGGGCGGCAGCAGUGAGGAAUAUUGGUCAAUGGGCGGGAGCCUGAACCAGCCAAGCCGCGUGAGGGAAGAAGGUACAGCGUAUCGUAAACCUCUUUUGUCAGGGAACAAAGGCGGGGACUAGUCCCCGUAUGAGUGUACCUGAAGCAAAAGCAUCGGCUAACUCCGUGCCAGCAGCCGCGGUAAUACGGAGGAUGCGAGCGUUAUCCGGAUGUAUUGGGUUUAAAGGGUGCGCAGGCGGCCGGUUAAGUCAGCGGUAAAAGCCCGGGGCUCAACCCCGGCGAGCCGUGGAAACUGGCGUGCUGGAGUUGGAGAGAAGUACGCGGAAUGCGCGGUGGAGCGGUGAAAUGCUUAGAUAUCGCGCAGAACCCCGAUGGCGAAGGCAGCGUACCGGCUCCACACUGACGCUGAGGCACGAAAGCGUGGGUAUCGAACAGGAUUAGAUACCCCUGUAGUC